AUUUACCUUCGUUAGGUGAGGCUCCUGUGUGGAGAUAUGCUGCUGCCCAGAAACGUCCAAAGACGCCAAUGGGUCAACAGAGACCAUCGAUAUAAGGUGGUAUUUAAUGCAGCUGGAUAUUUUCCUAUGCCACACAGUGCUAAAGCUCUACGAAUGAGGGAAAUC
rnacentral:sRNA from 2 species